GGGGAACGUUUGGAGGGAGUUCAGCAGAGGGCCACCAAGAUGAUGAGGGACAUGGAGAAUAUCCUGUAUGAGGAAAGGCUGAGAGACCUGGGACUGUUCAGCUUGGAGAAGACUGAGAGGGCAUCUUAUCAAUACUUACAUACAUCUAAAGUGUCCUCCCAGCUGUGAUCCUUUAUCAUCAAAUUCGGAGACUUCAGGUCUCUUCCUCCCUGCGAGCCCAGAAGGACUCCCAAGAACCAGAUGAGGUAUGAUGCUCAACAGUAUCAUCUUCCAGAGUGAAUCUCCAGAGCUAGCAGGAAGGGAGCAUUCCUGGACUACCCCUGCUUAGACAUUACAAGUGAAACUUCCUUUGAAAACUGAAGGCUUCUCAUAAGGAAGGACUCUACAUCAUCUUAUCUAGAGCUGGCACCUGUGUGAGGCCUUCUGGAGAAACAGCCGUGAAUAUUUAACAAGAGAUAUAAAAAUACAAGGAAAUGAAGACGGAUGUAAGAAGUGCUCUAGCAACCAUUUGUGCUUCAUCUGGAUUUCCCAUAAAACCAAGGGGUUCCAUCUUUUUGCUCAUGGAAUGGCUUGGGUUGGAAGGAAUCUCAAGAAUCAUCAAGUUCCAAGCACCCCUGCUACAGGCAGGGUUUCCAACCGCUUGAUCAAGUAGAAGACCAGGCUGCCCAGGACCCCAUUCAACCUGGCCUUGAACACCUCCAGGAAUGGGGCAUCCACAACCCCUCUGGGCAGACUGUUCCAGCACCUCACCACUCUCUAAGUGAAAAACUUUCCCCUGAUAUCUUAUCUAAAUAUUCCCUCCUUUCAUUUAAAACCACCAUUCCCUUUUGUCCUAUCACUAUCUACCUGUGUAAAAAGUUGGUUUACCUCCCUUUUAUAAAUUCCCUUUUAUUAUUCAAAGGUUGCAAUGAGGUCUCCCUGCAGACUUCUCUUUUCCAGGCUGAACAACCCCAGUUCCUUCAGUCUGUCUUCAUAGGAGAGGUGCUCCAGCCCUCUCUUCAGCUUUGUGGCCCUCCUCUGGACCCUCUCCAACAGCUCCAUAUCUUACCUGUGUUGGGGGCCCCAGACCUUGUCACAGUACCCCAGAUGGGCUCUCAUGAGGACAGAGGAGAGAGAGAGAAUCACCUCCCUUGCCCUGCUGUCCACCCCUCUUCUGAUGGAGCCCAGGAUACCAUUGGCCUUGCAGGCUGCAAGUGCACUCUACUGGCUGAAGUUAAGUUUUUCAUCUACCAGGACCACUAAGUCCUUCUUGUCAGGGCUACUCUCAAGGAAUUCUUCUCUCAGUGUGUAUGCAGGAUUACCACAACCCAAGUGCAAAAUGUUGCACUUUACUUUGUUGAAUAUCAUAAAUGAACUCAUAAAUGCAGGAUGCGAUUCUCAAAUAUCCAGUGAAAAAUUGACGUACCUGCUUAUUUUUGAGAUGAAGAGUAUAAAAGUACUUUAUCUCAGACAAGCUUCAGGUUCAAAUGCAAGCAUCUGAGUGAGGGUGGGAGAGAUAGCAAUGGGAUUGUUUCAUCAUUUCUUUGUGCUUUCAUGUUUCACUGAAAAUGGGAAUCAUAUGGCUCUGUUAAUAUCACUUGAACAGUAUAUUAACUAUAAAACAGCUGCUCAUUAUGGUAAUAAGGAAAGUAGUCAGUCAUUACUACUUUUUUUUUUUUUUUAACUUCCUGUAAUUUUCUUCUGUUGAUAGAAAUUUGUAUGCAGCAGUGAAAAGACCUAACUUUACAGAUACCUAGCAAACUGACCAUGGAUUCAAGUGUAAGAAAGCAUCUUAUAUCAGUAAAAAUGCUAUGGCUCUUUUCAUUUUACAUAAUUUUCUCUAAUUUGUAGAAUAGCGUUAAUUUUUUUAUACUAUACGUCAUUAGAAAAGUACUUAGCCAUCCCUUUUGUCUAACUCUUUGCUUGAACUUUCAAAGAGACAUCCAUUCUUUGUAUAACAAAUAUUUACUGAACACCAAAAAUAUUUUAUACAGCACUUGGGAUACUAUGAAAAGCUUUUAAGCAAAACUAGUCUGGUAAAUUUCUAGUAGCAUUUUGUCUCCCCGUGUACCUGCAAGAAUACUAUUUUCUCUUUACUAUUUCAUUCUUCAGAAAAAAAAAAAAAUCCUCUUGUCAGCCAGCAUAAUUUAGAAAUUUAAACUACCUCAAUUAAAUGGGAGCAUAUAUUUGUUGCAUUGCACAACAGAAAAGCUACAAAUUGUGCAUCGCACGCAGCUAAGGAAAACACUCUGAAUGUACAUGACAAGUGUCUUAUAUCUCACCUGUUCCACCCUUUAAAAUCCUCAGUGAACAGAAAAAUUGUUUUAUCCCAGCACACAACUUGCUAGAACAUAAUUGUUGAAGUCAUAGUUAUUAAAAAUAUAAUGUUAUGCCAAGUACUCAAAAUUACCAUAUCUGUAAAUCAUAUAACAUAUAGGGAAAGCAGCUUAUCUUCAUCCAUUUUCUCUGCUUCUUUAUCCUGUAUUUAGAAUGCUAAUA
ensembl:lncRNA